AGAUACUGCAUUUUUGACAAAUUGAAGGUUUGUUCAACGUUGCAUCAAGCAAUCUACGGGCACCAGUUUUGCAACAGCAUGCACUCACUUCAUGUCUCUGUCACACUUUGCUCCAGCCGAUCCCUCUGUUUGGGGUCCCUGACUUCCCGCAACACUCCUUGACAAUGCACCUGGUUAUCCAAGAGCUCUGAUGGAGACGUACGAAGAGAUUAAUGUUGUUUUCAUGUCCACUGACACAACAUGCAUUUUGCAGCCCACAGAUCAAGAAUUAAUUCCAACUUUCAAUCUUAUUAUUUAAGAAAUACAUAUUGUAAGGCUAUAGCUUCCAUAGAUAGUGAUUCCUCUGAUGAAUCUCAGAAAACUCCAUUGAAAAUCUGGAAAACAUUCACAAUUCUAGAUUCUAUGCAUUAAGACCAUGGAUAAUUCAUGAGAGGAGGUCAAAAUAUCAACAUUAACAGGAGUUUGGAAAAUGUGAAUUCCAACCCUCAUGAAUGACUUUGAGGGGUUCAAGACUUCAGUGGAGGAAGCACUGUAGGUGUGGUGGAAAACAGCAAGAGAAUGAGAAUUAGAAGUGGAGCCUGAAGAUGUGACUCAAUUGCUGCAAUAUUAUGAAAAAUUUUAACAUAUUUGGUGUUACUUCUUAUGGAUGAGCAAAGAAAGUGGUCUCAGAUGAGCAAAGAAAGUGGUUUCUUAAGUGGAAUCUACUCCAGAUGUGAACACUGUAGAAAUGACAACAAAUGAUUUAGAAUAUUACAUAAACUUAGUUGAUAAAGCAGCAGCAGGGUUUGGGAGGAUUGACUGCAAUUUUGAAAGUAGUUCUACUGUGGAUAAAAUGCUAGCAAAAAGGAUUGCAUGCUAUAGAGAAAUUUUUCAUGAAAGGAAGAGUCAAUUGAUGCAACAAGCUUCAUUUUUGUCUUAUUUCAAGAGAUAGAUUGCCACAGCCACCCCAGCCUUCAGCAACCAAUGCCCUAGUCAGAAAACAGCCAUCACCAUUGAGGCAAAAGCCUCCACCAGCAAAAAGGUGAUGACUUGCUAAAGGCUCAGAUGAUUAUUAGUAUUUUUUAGCAAUAAGGUAUUUUUAAAUUAAAGUAUGUAUAUUGUUUCUUAGAUAUAAUGCUAUUGCACACUUAAUAGGCUACAAUAUAGUACAGACAUAACUUUUAUAUACACUGAAAAAACAAAAAAAUCGUGUGAUACCUUUUAUUUUGAUUUUUGUUUUAUUGUGUUAGUCUGGAACUGAGCCCUCUAUAUCUCUGAAGUAUGCCUGUACUUUGUUUCGAAAACAUUGCUACUACAGUAUAAUCUAUAACACAAUACAUUUGAAAUCUUAAAGAAUAACAAAUUACACAUAAAAAUGCUUGAGUAUGAAUAUACAUUAGAACAAUAUUUUAGAAGGAGUGGCAAGAAUAUAACAUCUACUUUACUUCCCUUCUAUUUAAUAAGGUCAUUACUGCCAGGUGCAGAGGCUCACACCUGUAAUCCCAGUGCUUAGGAGGCCAAGGCAGGGGGAUUGCUUGAGGCAGGAAGUUCAAGACCAGCCUGGGUAACAUAAUGAGACAUCUCAACAAAACAAUAAGAAAAUUAGCCAGGCCUCAUGGCACAUGCCUGUAGUCCUAGCUACUCCGGAGGCCAGGGCAAGAAGAUUGCUUGAGCUCAGGAGUUCGAGGCUGCAGUGAGCUAUGAUUGUGCCGCUGCACUUCAGCCUGGCCAAUGGAGUGAGAUUCUGUCUUUAAAAAAUUAAAAAGAAUAAAGAAAAAUGAGGUAAUUACCUAGUGAGAAGAAGAAAUUAAAAUGUUCCAAUAUAAAUUAUUCUUUAUUAUUUCAUUUUGUUUACUAUAUUAUUCUGAGUUCUGGUAGAUAUAUGCCAAUUGAUUCUUUGGUGCUUGGAGCCAUGAUCUACUAUGAUGGAAAUGUCUAACAAAUUAGGAAGCUAGAAAUAUGAUAAAAUAUCAGAACCUUUGCAGGUUCUGUACAGUAUAUGUUAUCACUGAAAGCAUAGAAAUUUAUGUGAUCACCAUAAGCACUAGCAUAACAGAAAUAUUGUCUUUGUAUUUUAUUUGAAGUAUGCAAUACUAUGUACACACUUAAUAUUGUCCAUUGACAUGCUUGCAAACACUAGCUUUCCUCCAAUGCCAGUAAAAUAAUAUAAAACUGGACACAUCCUGUUUUCAUUCACUUGAUGUAAAUAAUACUCUGAUUUUACAACAGUUCCAAAUAAGAAAAUAUUUUUUUAAAAAAACUUGUAAUCAAUAACUGGGUCAUCUAACCCCAAUCAUCAGAGGGGAAUUAUUUCUGAACUUUUGAAGUUUAACCAUCCACAAUAUUAAUAAUUUUGUGUUUUGAGUUUGUAACUGUGUGAAGCAUGAAUUCAUCCUUAAAAUGACACUAAUAUAAUCUGCAAACUUAUUUUGUAUAAAUCAACAAACGCAUACAAAUGGAAAUAAAUUAUCGACCUAAGGUGAAGAGACAAAAUUAUUACUUAAGCACCAUCCUCUGCUAAUUGAUAAGCACUUACUGAAAUAAUAUUCUUCAUACAAAUAUUUUUUAAAUAUUCUCCUUACCCCAUUAUCAUUUUUUAGGAAAGUGGUAUGUUUAUUAUGGCUGUCAUUAAUUAAAAUUUGGCCUACUUUUCCUCUUUCCAAAGUGCAGGUGAACUUUUGAAAUCUAACUGAAAUAAAUUACAAAUGAUAAUCUUUGCCUUCCUUUUCUGAAAGAAACUAAAUUUCUUUUAAAAUCCAUUUUUUAUAGAGUCUCCCACACGUGCCCAUUCUGAGAAAUGAAUUUCCAAGAUUGUCUCAGUAAAGUCAUCUUUCCUUGCUAAUUUACACUGAGUGAAUUUUGCACCCCUAUAUGAGGGUGAUAACAUCAAAAUAAAUUGCUACAGUACCACCAGAUUGCCUCCCAACUUUAAAGUUUCAUACCAGAUAUUUUGAACACUC
rnacentral:lncRNA from 1 species